AGUCGACGGCAGCAUGACCUAGCUUGCUAGGUUGAUGGCGAGUGGCGAACGGGUGAGUAAUACAUCGGAACGUACCCAAUAGUGGGGGAUAACGCAGCGAAAGCUGUGCUAAUACCGCAUACGUCCUACGGGAGAAAGCGGGGGAUCUUCGGACCUCGCGCUAAUGGAGCGGCCGAUGUCAGAUUAGCUAGUUGGUGGGGUAAAGGCCCACCAAGGCGACGAUCUGUAGCUGGUCUGAGAGGAUGAUCAGCCACACUGGGACUGAGACACGGCCCAGACUCCUACGGGAGGCAGCAGUGGGGAAUUUUGGACAAUGGGGGCAACCCUGAUCCAGCCAUGCCGCGUGAGUGAAGAAGGCCUUCGGGUUGUAAAGCUCUUUCAGCAGGAACGAAACGGUGGUCCUUAAUACGGGCUACUAAUGACGGUACCUGAAGAAGAAGCACCGGCUAACUACGUGCCAGCAGCCGCGGUAAUACGUAGGGUGCGAGCGUUAAUCGGAAUUACUGGGCGUAAAGCGUGCGCAGGCGGUUCUAUAAGACAGAUGUGAAAUCCCCGGGCUUAACCUGGGAACUGCGUUUGUGACUGUAGGACUCGAGUGUGGCAGAGGGGGGUGGAAUUCCACGUGUAGCAGUGAAAUGCGUAGAGAUGUGGAGGAACACCGAUGGCGAAGGCAGCCCCCUGGGCCAAUACUGACGCUCAUGCA
rnacentral:rRNA from 1 species